rnacentral:rRNA from 1 species
AGCAGCAGCCGCGGGAAAACGGAGGGUGCAAGCGUUAAUCGGAAUUACUGGGCGUAAAGCGCACGCAGGCGGUCUGACAAGUCAGAUGUGAAAUCCCCGGGCUUAACCUGGGAACUGCAUUUGAAACUGUCAGGCUGGAGUCUUGUAGAGGGGGGUGGAAUUCCAGGUGUAGCGGUGAAAUGCGUAGAGAUCUGGAGGAAUACCGGUGGCGAAGGCGGCCCCCUGGACAAAGACUGACGCUCAGGUGCGAAAGCGUGGGGAGCAAACAGGAUUAGAUACCCCUGUAGUCCCUGUCUCUUAUAC